AGGCUACUUGUCGAAUUCGUUGGAAACUUACAAUUAUUCGUGCAGGAAUAAAUUGGAACAAACUUAGGAGCACCUAAAAGACGCGAUGGUUUUGCGAGUUGUUGUUGGGUUACUCUGCAACAAUUUUAACAAUAAAAAGCGGGAUUCUCGUUGUUCCAUUCUUCUUUUAUAUUAAAAUUUCUGUGCCAUCGUUUCCACGCGUAAAAUUUAUCAUGAAUGGACCAGCACAGAUUGUACCUGUGAAGUCGAUACACUUUCAACUUUGCUUACAAGUAGAAUAAAACGUUUGUUUUUGUCAUCGUCAAUGUUUAUCGAUGAUUCUUCGAGUUUUCCUGUCGUCUGAUUUUCUUGUAAUCGAUCAUGAACGCAAUAAACGUGAAUUGGUUACAUUCGGUAGAGGGAGAAUCGCUGGUGCAUCAUUUUUAUGUAAACACGUCGAAAAAGAGAAGAUUCUAUGGUAUUCUUGAAAGGCCGCCAUUGCCAUCUUCCAUCGAAGAAGUUACAUAUAAAAUUUUUAUGGUCGGCAGAUCUGGAGUAGGAAAAACCUCUGUGGUAGCACGUCUCGCUGGUAUAUUGGAGACGAAUAAUUACGCGGAGACCAAUGGAAUAAAAAAGACAAAUGUUUUUUGGCCGGUUAAAAUUUGGGACAAGGUUGUGCUGUUCAAGCUCCAAUUUUGGGACACCUCGGAGACAAGCAUUAAAAAAUAUAACCAUAUACUGCCUGCAUGCAAAGACAAAGUUGAUGCUAUAUGUUCAGUAUUUUGUUUUGAUGAUGCCAUGGGUUUCAAUGACAUUCCAUACUUGAUGAAUACAAUGGCAGCUAUGAAGGAAAAACCAGCGAACAUAGUAAUAGGAACAAAAUUCAAACCAUGGUCGAGUUCUACAAUAGAGGACGCGCGGAUAAAGGAAUUUGAAGAUAAAUGGAAAGUUAAAGUUGUCAGGGUCGAUAUCAAUAAAUUAUCAUCGAGAUCCGAAAUAUUCGAUUGUUCAUAUCAAUUGAACACAAUAUGUAACAUACUUUGGAAUAGAGAUAAAGAAUUUAUAUCUAAACAUAUGGGACAAAAUUAAGUAGUCAAUGAUUCAGCUUCCGCAAUACCCGCGUGCAUCUUUUUGCAAGAUUUUCAAUAAAGGCUGGCAAACGUUUCGAUCGUAAUUUAGUUGGGUAUUUUGGGUGCGUUCUCAACGAUAGACUGUUGUUAGCACUUGCAGACAACUUCAAGAGAGUUGAGCGUCGUAAGUGGCGGCAAAAUUGGCAGCGGUAUCGAUUCC